rnacentral:rRNA from 1 species
UACGAAGGGUGCAAGCGUUGUCCGGAAUUAUUGGGCGUAAAGAGCUCGUAGGCGGCUUGUCACGUCGGGUGUGAAAGCCCGGGGCUUAACCCCGGGUCUGCAUUCGAUACGGGCUAGCUAGAGUGUGGUAGGGGAGAUCGGAAUUCCUGGUGUAGCGGUGAAAUGCGCAGAUAUCAGGAGGAACACCGGUGGCGAAGGCGGAUCUCUGGGCCAUUACUGACGCUGAGGAGCGAAAGCGUGGGGAGCGAACAGG